ACACCACUGAGUUUGCCUCAUCUCUGCCUCUUUCCAGGUCUGUCUCGCUCACUAACCCAACAUAACUCGUUGGAUUCCCUGAGUAGGGAGACAUAUUACCUCUUCUUUCUCUGCUCAGAAUCCUCCUAAAAGACAACAUACGACUCAUCGGCGAUCUAUAAGUCGGUGACUCGGUCACUAACUCGUCUUCGAAAUUACCAGUUCUUCUGGGUACUUCUAUUGUCACACCCACCAGUUCCGCUGGUUUCCUUCGACCCCCAAAAGACGAAGUAGAUGCA
rnacentral:misc_RNA from 1 species